AUUGAACGCUGGCGGCAGGCUUAACACAUGCAAGUCGAGCGGAGAUGAGGUGCUUGCACCUUAUCUUAGCGGCGGACGGGUGAGUAAUGCUUAGGAAUCUGCCUAUUAGUGGGGGACAACAUUCCGAAAGGAAUGCUAAUACCGCAUACGUCCUACGGGAGAAAGCAGGGGAUCUUCGGACCUUGCGCUAAUAGAUGAGCCUAAGUCGGAUUAGCUAGUUGGUGGGGUAAAGGCCUACCAAGGCGACGAUCUGUAGCGGGUCUGAGAGGAUGAUCCGCCACACUGGGACUGAGACACGGCCCAGACUCCUACGGGAGGCAGCAGUGGGGAAUAUUGGACAAUGGGGAGAACCCUGAUCCAGCCAUGCCGCGUGUGUGAAGAAGGCCUUAUGGUUGUAAAGCACUUUAAGCGAGGAGGAGGCUACUGAGACUAAUACUCUUGGAUAGUGGACGUUACUCGCAGAAUAAGCACCGGCUAACUCUGUGCCAGCCGCCGCGGUAAGAC
rnacentral:rRNA from 1 species